GCUCGUAGGCGGCCAGUUGCGUCCGCUGUGAAAUCCCGGGGCUUAACCCCGGGCGUGCAGUGGAUACGGGCUGGCUAGAGGCAGGCAGGGGAGAACGGAAUUCCCGGUGUAGCGGUGAAAUGCGCAGAUAUCGGGAGGAACACCGGUGGCGAAGGCGGUUCUCUGGGCCUGUACUGACGCUGAGGAGCGAAAGCGUGGGGAGCGAACAGGAUUAGAUACCCUGGUAGUCCACGCCGUAAACGUUGGGCGCUAGGUGUGGGUCCCUUCCACGGGGUCUGUGCCGCAGCUAACGCAUUAAGCGCCCCGCCUGGGGAGUACGGCCGCAAGGCUAAAACUCAAAGAAAUUGACGGGGGCCCGCACAAGCGGCGGAGCAUGUUGCUUAAUUCGACGCAACGCGAAGAACCUUACCAAGGUUUGACAUGGCCGGAAAACUCAUGGAGACAUGGGGUCCUUCGGGGCCGGUCACAGGUGGUGCAUGGCUGUCGUCAGCUCGUGUCGUGAGAUGUUGGGUUAAGUCCCGCAACGAGCGCAACUCUCGUCCAAUGUU
rnacentral:rRNA from 1 species